rnacentral:lncRNA from 1 species
UUAUUAUUAAGUGCCGUAUUUGUGUAGUUGUUCAGUUCGUGCCUUUACCUGAGGGACAGCUCAUAGGUAUCCACUGAGCAGCUGAAUAUUCAUGGGGGAGCUAAGAGUCUGAUAACACAAGGUAGGCCUACAAAAUAGCUUUCUACACUAGGUUUCUACACUGUUCAGUGUACUAAUCCAUGAAAAUCAGAAUAACUUUCUACACUAGGUUUCUACACUGUUCAGUGUACUAAUCCAUGAAAAUCAGAAUAACUUUCUACACUAGGUUUCUACACUGUUCAGUGUACUAAUCCAUGAAAAUCAGAAUAACUUUCUACACUAGGUUUCUACACUGUUCAGUGUACUAAUCCAUGAAAAUCAGAAUAACUUUCUACACUAGGUUUCUACACUGUUCAGUGUACUAAUCCAUGAAAAUCAGGAGGGAGAUAUGCAUAUCCUAAAUGUAUUUAUACCGCCGCUUUUCCCCCUUUUCUUUAUCAGUGAACUACUGUAAUCUAUUUAUCUAUUUCCCUAACGUUGUGAUGUCAUCUCCAAUCUCUUAAUAUUAAAACAUCCAGUCAUCAAUGUCCUCGGGACACUGGGUUUCACUAUCACAUAAAGGGGACAUUGCUCUCCCUCCACCUGUCUGUGGUGAUUUUCACGUGACGGAGUCCCAAUGCUCAUGGACAAUGAACCAUUUCCCUGGGGGGCGCCCAGUGCUGUCAUAGCCAGCGAUUGUUCUCUGCGUUUUAUUUUGGUUAGCGCAGCUUUUGGGAAGGAAGUUUGCAGCACGGAGCCAGCCGAGAGAGAGAGAUAGAGAGCCUUUGUUUGUGUCUGAGAGCUGCUCUGCCCAGAAGGACCCAUCCUGUUUACUCACCGGGUGACACUGUAUCCCCCUGUCCACCGCUACCAAUGGGACAAUCCGGAUUAAGUGUUCUCCUCCUGCAGUGGAACAAAUGGCUGUUACAGAGAACUCUCUCUCUCUCUCUCUCUCUCUCUCUUGCUCUCUCCCCCCCCCUCUCUCUCUCUCGCUCCCCCCCCUCUCUCUCUCGCUCCCCC